rnacentral:rRNA from 1 species
GCUGGCGGCAUGCCUAACACAUGCAAGUCGAACGAGACCUUCGGGUCUAGUGGCGCACGGGUGCGUAACGCGUGGGAAUCUGCCCUUGGGUUCGGGAUAACAGUUGGAAACGACUGCUAAUACCGGAUGACGACUUCGGUCCAAAGAUUUAUCGCCCAGGGAUGAGCCCGCGUCGGAUUAGCUAGUUGGUGAGGUAAAGGCUCACCAAGGCGACGAUCCGUAGCUGGUCUGAGGGGAUGAUCAGCCACACUGGGACUGAGACACGGCCCAGACUCCUACGGGAGGCAGCAGUGGGGAAUAUUGGACAAUGGGCGAAAGCCUGAUCCAGCAAUGCCGCGUGAGUGAUGAAGGCCCUAGGGUUGUAAAGCUCUUUUACCCGGGAUGAUAAUGACAGUACCGGGAGAAUAAGCCCCGGCUAACUCCGUGCCAGCAGCCGCGGUAAUACGGAGGGGGCCAGCGUUGUUCGGAAUUACUGGGCGUAAAGCGCACGUAGGCGGCUUUGCAAGUCAGAGGUGAAAGCCCGGGGCUCAACCCCGGAAUAGCCUUUGAGACUGCAUCGCUAGAAUUGUGGAGAGGUAAGUGGAAUUCCGAGUGUAGAGGUGAAAUUCGUAGAUAUUCGGAAGAACACCAGUGGCGAAGGCGACUUACUGGACACACAUUGACGCUGAG